rnacentral:lncRNA from 1 species
CAUUUUGGGCCACGUGGUUGGUGCGGAGGAGGGGGAAAGAAGGGCGCAGUGCGGGUCUGGGCUUUGCAGGUAGUUAGUGCGACUGUGUGCGUGCGGGAGCAAGAGAGUACACUCGUCGGAGACUGCGAGGAGUUGGGACACCCUGGGAAGCAGCAAACCAGAGCACCAAGCAGGGCCCGCUCAGUUCAUCAUACCCAGUCAGCAUUGGGAUGAAGGAGGACGGCACUGUCAUGAUGAGAACACUGUGAAGGAGGAUGGCACUGUCAUGAUGAGAACACUGUGUCCUUAGAAGAUGAAGCCUUCAACACUGAACCUUAAAACCAAGCCAUCCAGCUCCUGCCAGCUCCUUGUGGUUGCCUGUGGCUCCAUGGAACUGCCACAUCAAGUAAUGAACCUCAAGGUGAACCAAACCAGGAUACCACACACAUCACACCAGCCCUCCUUUGGGAAAUGCAGACCUGUCCCAGGAGUUUCAGGCAUCCUGUGUUCAUCCUGCAUCGCCUCGUUGAAGAAGUAAAACUACCUGCUGCUGAGAACUCUGAAAAGGAGCUGCAAACGUCGAGGUUCAGAGGAACCAGGAAUCCUGGCCUGCCAUCCGUACAGCCUGCUGACCUCCAGGUGGAUGUGUGAAGCAAGGAGCUGUGCCCUGGAAGCCCCAGAUGAGUGUGUGGGUCAUGUGCUGCAAGCUCCCAGUGCUGAAAUACCGCUUCAGAUGCUUAACGUGUUCUGAACUGUUUGUUUUUCAAGGUUGCAGGGGUCCGUUUCCGUGCUGUCUGCCGAUGGUGCUGCCUGAAGGAAAACCAUGGAAACGGAGUUUGACAGGCUCACAGGGACCCACGGCUGCCAGAGCCGCUGCCUUUGAGCGCCUGAUGAAGACAUCACAGAGCAAACACAACAUUAAAA